GACGAACGCUGGCGGCGUGCUUAACACAUGCAAGUCGAACGGAAAGGCCCUGCUUUUGUGGGGUGCUCGAGUGGCGAACGGGUGAGUAACACGUGAGUAACCUGCCCUUGACUUUGGGAUAACUUCAGGAAACUGGGGCUAAUACCGGAUAGGAGCUCCUGCUGCAUGGUGGGGGUUGGAAAGUUUCGGCGGUUGGGGAUGGACUCGCGGCUUAUCAGCUUGUUGGUGGGGUAGUGGCUUACCAAGGCUUUGACGGGUAGCCGGCCCUGAGAGGGGGACCGGCCACAUGGGGACUGAGAUACGGCCCAGACUCCUACGGGAGGCAGCAGUGGGGAAUAUUGCACAAUGGGCGGAAGCCUGAUGCAGCAACGCCGCGUGCGGGAUGCCGGCCUUCGGGUUGUAAACCGCUUUCGCCUGUGACGAAGCGUGAGUGACGGUAAUGGGUAAAGAAGCACCGGCUAACUACGUG
rnacentral:rRNA from 1 species